AAGAGUUUAGUAUAAAUGGUAGUACAUUGGUUUAAAAGCAAGCCUUUAGCAGGAGUUCGAGUCUCCUAGCUCUUA